rnacentral:lncRNA from 1 species
UAACUCUUCAUAUACUGCUCAGUUGUGUUGCAUUCGUGGACAUACAUUUCGGGUUCAUCCUUUUUAACCCAAAUAGCCGCCAUUGCAUGAUGACAAGGUAUUCCAGUUAACUCCCAUCUCCUACAAGAACAUGUCAUCUCCUUAAGAUUAACAGAGAAUAGUCUAAGGUAGAUGUCCUCAAUUUGAUAAUGGAAUUGGUCAGCUUUAGUGGCAAUACAUUCAACAGUCUUAGAUUUAUUUUUCUCUAACUUCAGCAAGAUUUUUGGACAGAUUGCGUGCUCAUGCCUCAUCAUGUUAUCUCUAUUCUUCUGAAAUCUUGACAUCAUGUAAACCUAAUUGACUCGAGCAUUGUCAAAAUGUGCUCGUCUCUAGCAAGCAAUAGUAUGCUAUUGAACGAUUCACACAAAUUGUUCAUAGCAUAUCACACUUUGUGAAAGAAGAGAAAAAAGCUCUGGACCAGUGAAUAGGAGGCUUAUUAUUGAACCAUUGAGGGGCUUCCGAAUUCAGCUUCUCCAUUUCUUCCAUAUACUUGUGGAAUUGAGCUUCAGUAGUUGCCCUUGCAGCAUUCCAUAAGCAUUCAAAGGGUUUCAAAUUUAGUAGGUUGAAGACAAAGUAUCUGGAGUGCAAGUUUAGCGCUAAGCCGAGAGGAGUAAGCGGGGAUGUGAAGCUUGGAACUCUGGUCAUCCCCAAGAGGGACAACUUCAAGUACCGGGCAGGUCGAAGGCAGAGUACCUGGAGUGCAAGCUUAGCGCCGAGCCGAGAGGAGUAGGCGGGGACGUGAAGCUUGAAACUCAGAUCAUCCCCAAGAGGGACAACUUCAAGUAACUGGGGUCGGUGAUUCUGGGGACAGAGAGAUUGGCGAGGACGUCACUCAGUGUAUAGGGGCGGGCUGGAUGAAAUUGAGGCUUGCAUCUGGAGUCUUGUGUGACAAGAAAGUGCCAUCGAAACUCAAAGGUAAGUUUUAUAGAGCUAUGGUUAGACUGGUCAUGCUGUACGGGACGGAGUGUUUGGCGGUUAAUAACUCCCAUACCCAGAGGAUGAAAGUAGCGGAGAUAAGGAUGCUCAGGUGGAUGUGUGGUGACAUUAGGAUGAAUAGGAUUAGGAAUAAAGAUAUUCGGGCGACGGUGGGCGUGGCCCCGAUAGAUAAUAAGAUGCGGGAAGCGAGGCUCAGAUGGUACAGGCACGUGAGGAGGAGAAGCCUUGACGUCCCGGUUAGGAGGUGCGAGCGGCUGACAGCGGUAGGUUCGAGAAGAGGUAGAGGGCGGCCUAAGAAGUAUUAGGGAGAGGCGAUUAGGCAGGACAUGGCUAGACUGCGGAUUUCUGAGGAUAUGGCCCUUGAUAAGGAGGUCUGGAGGUCAAGCAUAAGAGUUGUAGGGUAGGUGGUACUAGAGCUUUUUGGGUGGGUGGGGUUGGAUAGGGUUUGUCCUAGAUGGCGUACGGUUUUUAUUUAGCUCCACUGAAAUUGCUGUUGAUUUUUGUCCCAGGAGGUAGAUUCUGGCUGAUAUCAUUACAUGUCAUGCAUUUUACUGUCUUUAUUGCUUAUGUUACUAUUUCUACGAUUUCUAUUGAAGUUUUUUCUUGUUCCUGUUUUUUUAUUAUUUUUUCUGAGCCGAGGUUUGAUUGGAAACAACCUCUCUGCCCUAUAAGGGUAGGGGUAAGGUCUUGUUGUUGUUGUUGUGUAGGUGCCUCGCACAAAACCUCUGUGCAACAUCUGGAAGUACCUCAUCAAUAGCUGGAAGUAGACCCUUUUGCUUAGCAGAAAUAAAAGUCCAUGUAAAAGGGUUUUGUGAGAUUCCUAGGUCUUCAUUUGAGAGCAUUGAAUGUGUUUUUGGCGAUGCAUCAAAUAUAUUUUAGUGAAACCUUUUGAAUUUCUUAUAGAUAGUGAAUACCAUUUUGUGUUAGCAUACAGUUCCUUAAAGUGUUUUAAACUGAGUUCAUAAUUGGCACAUCAUCAAGCCAAUAAUUCCAAGUAUUUCAGUAUGUAUGCUGUGAUACUUCGCAUUGAUUGUCCCAUGAAAUCUUUAAGUAAUUAACUCAAAGAAUACUCACA